rnacentral:rRNA from 1 species
CGGGAGGCAGCAGUGGGGAAUUUUCCGCAAUGGGCGAAAGCCUGACGGAGCAAUACCGCGUGAGGGAAGACGGCCUAUGGGUUGUAAACCUCUUUUUUCAGGGAGGAAUCAAUGACGUGUACCUGAAGAAUAAGCAUCGGCUAACUCCGUGCCAGCAGCCGCGGU